rnacentral:tRNA from 1 species
GUGCGGCAAAAUAAUGAUACUUACAAGAAUCUACAAGCCCCAAUAAAGUCGCCCGGCAGGUCUGCAAAACCUUUAUGCGUCGGUUCGAUCCCGACCCGCGCCUCCA